CACGUAGGGUGCGAGCGUUGUCCGGAAUUAUUGGGCGUAAAGAGCUCGUAGGCGGUGUGUCGCGUCGGCCGUGAAAACCUGUGGCUUAACUAUGGGCUUGCGGUCGAUACGGGCAUCACUGGAGUUCGGCAGGGGAGACUGGAAUUCCUGGUGUAGCGGUGAAAUGCGCAGAUAUCAGGAGGAACACCGGUGGCGAAGGCGGGUCUCUGGGCCGAUACUGACGCUGAGGAGCGAAAGCCAGGGGAGCAAACGGG
rnacentral:rRNA from 1 species